AACGAACGCUGGCGGCAGGCUUAACACAUGCAAGUCGAGUGCCCCGCAAGGGGAGCGGCAGACGGGUGAGUAACGCGUGGGAAUCUACCGUGCCCUACGGAAUAACGCAUGGAAACGUGUGCUAAUACCGUAUACGCCCUACGGGGGAAAGAUUUAUCGGGGUAUGAUGGGCCUGCGUUGGAUUAGCUAGUUGGUGGGGUAAAGGCCUACCAAGGCGACGAUCCAUAGCUGGUCUGAGAGGAUGAUCAGUCACAUUGGGACUGAGACACGGCCCAAACUCCUACGGGAGGCAGCAGUGGGGAAUAUUGGACAAGGGGCGCAAGCCUGAUCCAGCCAUGCCGCGUGAGUGAUGAAGGUCUUAGGAUUGUAAAGCUCUUUCACCGGUGAAGAUAAUGACGGUAACCGGAGAAGAAGCCCCGGCUAACUUCGUGCCAUCCGCCGCCGUAAAAC
rnacentral:rRNA from 1 species